CAACAUUGUCACACAGCAGCACCUGGCAGCCCUGCAGUGGCUGUGCUACAAGCGGUUUGUGGAGAAAAGCAUGUCUCAGGGGAGCUGGACUGACCAUGUACAGGGCCUGGUGGAGCAGAGCCCCUGGCUACAGCAGCAGCUGCUCCAGCUGGUGGCCCCUCACAGUGACCUGGCCACAGUCGCCCAAUGUGCCCUGGACCUCUCACUGCCUGAGGAGCAGCUGCCAGAUUCAGUGGCUGCAAAGCUUGUUUGGCUUAGGCUCCAGGGAAGGACAGCUGAGGCUGAUUCAAGAUGGAGGAGCCGCACAAGAACCUGAAGGAAGAUUUCUACCAACUGCCCAUUUCCAGAGAAAACAUCCACUUCCUGGCCUCCUGGGAGGGCCUGGCCAGGCAUGAGGCCAGCUGCUGCAGGUGGGUGCCUGGCUGGCUUCUAUAGCACACUGCUCAUGGAGCCUCUGUGUAAGGACCUCAGGA
rnacentral:lncRNA from 1 species